rnacentral:tRNA from 1 species
CCAAUCAUGGCUCAGAUGGUAAAGCGUCUGCCUACAAUGCGGGAGACCCGGGUUCAAUCCCUGGAUUGGG